rnacentral:rRNA from 1 species
UUCCAGACUCCUACGGGAGGCAGCAGUGGGGGAUAUUGCACAAUGGGGGGAACCCUGAUGCAGCGACGCCGCGUGGGUGAAGAAGCGCCUCGGCGCGUAAAGCCCUGUCAGCAGGGAAGAAAAUGACGGUACCUGAAGAAGAAGCCCCGGCUAACUACGUGCCAGCAGCCGCGGUAAUACGUAGGGGGCAAGCGUUAUCCGGAUUUACUGGGUGUAAAGGGAGCGUAGGUGGCAUGGCAAGCCAGAAGUGAAAACCCGGGGCUUAACCCCGCGGAUUGCUUUUGGAACUGUCAGGCUGGAGUGCAGGAGGGGCAGGCGGAAUUCCUGGUGUAGCGGUGAAAUGCGUAGAUAUCAGGAGGAACACCGGUGGCGAAGGCGGCCUGCUGGACUGCAACUGACGUUGAGGCCCGAAAGCGUGGGGAGCAAACAGGAUUAGAUACCCCGGUA